rfam:Alligator sinensis unplaced genomic scaffold scaffold125_1, whole genome shotgun sequence
GUGUCUCGGCCUUUUAUAGGCUAAGAUCAAGUGUAGAACCUGUUCUUAUCAGCUGUAAUAUCUUGUAUGUGUUUAAUAUAUGUGUGUGUAAUAUAUUUUCUAUAUGCAAUAUUU